GUGCUUGCUUCAACACAUAUACUAAAAUUGGAACAAUACAGAGAAGAUUAGCAUGGCCCUUGUGCAAGGAUGACAUGCAAAUUUGUGAAGCGUUCCAUAUUUUU
ensembl:snRNA U6 U6 spliceosomal RNA